UGAGGAAUCUUCCGCAAUGGGCGAAAGCCUGACGGAGCGACGCCGCGUGAAGGAUGAAGUCUUUUUUAGAUGUAAACUUCUGUUCUGAGGGACGAAAUUUUUUGACGGUACCUCAGGAGAAAGCAUCGGCUAACCCUGUGCCAGCAGCCGCGGUAAGACAGGGGAUGCAAGCGUUACUCGGAAUUACUGGGCGUAAAGCGUCUGCAGGUGUCUUGGGUAGUCUACGGUCAAAUGACGGAGCUCAACUCCGUCCGUGCUGUGGAAACUCCCAAGAUUGAGCCAUUCAGAGGCAUCUGGAAUGUCGUGUGGAGGGGUAAAAUCCGUAGAUCCACGAUGGAACGCCAAAAGCGAAGGCAGGAUGCUAGGAAUGUGCUGACACUCAGAGACGAAAGCGUGGGGAGCAAAGGGGAUUAGAUACCCCCGUAGUCCCUGAGCGGGCUGGCAAGGCGCAU
rnacentral:rRNA from 1 species